UACGUAGGGUGCGAGCGUUAAUCGGAAUUACUGGGCGUAAAGCGUGCGCAGGCGGUUUUGUAAGCCAGAUGUGAAAGCCCCGGGCUUAACCUGGGAAUGGCAUUUGGGACUGCAAGGCUUGAGUGCGGCAGAGGAGACUGGAAUUCCUGGUGUAGCAGUGAAAUGCGUAGAUAUCUGGAGGAACACCGGUGGCGAAGGCGGCAUCCUGGACCAACACUGACGCUGAGGAGCGAAAGCCAGGGGAGCAAACGGG
rnacentral:rRNA from 1 species